rnacentral:rRNA from 1 species
UACGUAGGGCGCAAGCGUUAUCCGGAAUUAUUGGGCGUAAAGAGCUCGUAGGCGGUUUGUCGCGUCUGCCGUGAAAGUCCGGGGCUCAACUCCGGAUCUGCGGUGGGUACGGGCAGACUAGAGUGAUGUAGGGGAGACUGGCAUUCCUGGUGUAGCGGUGAAAUGCGCAGAUAUCAGGAGGAACACCGAUGGCGAAGGCAGGUCUCUGGGCAUUAACUGACGCUGAGGAGCGAAAGCAUGGGGAGCGAACAGG